CGAGCCCGAGCAAGGAGUGUCGGUCGGUCUCCCUCGCGUUGGGGCUCCUCGCCCUGCCCAGCGGGAGGGAGAGGGGGACGGAGGGAGGCAGCCACCCACAGACGGCCUACAGGCCUCGCCUUCGUGGGCGCCACCUUUCGCCGUUGCUACGCAACGCCUGGCUUGUGCGGGGAUUUUCUACGCCUGAAAAUCAGCACACAGCAGAGGCAGGAACUGAAAGGAAAAGCGCAUAUUCGUGGGAGAAGAAGGAAGCCUAGAAAAGGGGCUGCCCGCCGCCUGUGGUCCUGCAUGUGAAGAGAGCUGGCUUCCAGAUGAGGAGGCGGCGGCUAAGUGGAGGGCGCUCAGAUUCAGCCUGCAGUCAAGCAGCCGCCGCUUAGCAGCAAGUUCUCGGGUUGGUCGUUUGGAGCAACUCCUCGACUUUCGGGCGCUCCAUGUUGACGAAAUCGCACGAGACGAGUGCUCGUUUUUGUCUCUUCAUUCACAACAGAAACCAAAGCCGACCUAAAACAGAUAACUGCGGUUUUAUCCAUCCGAUCCUGAUCAGGAUUCAGAGAGAACCCCAUCUGCAAGGACUCUCAGUCUCUAUCCCUCCGCCCUGCGAGAUCUUCCCGGGAGGGAGGAGGAGGGAGAGUGAUGGGAUAGCCGAACCACCUGUCCACUCAGAACCGCAUUCUGAGUUUAGGGUACCUGAUCUCUACUUGCAAAGAUCCCAUCAGACCAACUAAUGGUGCAGAUGGAUAAAUGUCCUACUACAGGUUAAUUGUGAUAUUCUCUCACACUUUCUGCAUUUUAAAAAAUUGCUAUGUCUCUGGGACUUUAUGUAAUCUGAGUAACACCAACAAUUUUGCAAUCCAAACCAAUUACAGUGUGAAAGCUCAUUUACGAUUUUAUACUAGUUUGUUCAAUAAAAGAGAUCUUGUUA